AUCUGUUGAAACAAUUAGAUGACGUAAGAUUUUGUGAUUAAAAUAAAUCAUGUCCGUUAGAUUAAAAGUAAGGAUAAACUCAAACGUUAGAUCAAACUUUUUUUUUCCACUAUAUUUUUAGUAAACCCGCAUUGAUGUUAGCAAUUUUUUAUAGGAAAAUAAAAACAAGAUCGUACGGUGGAGAUUGCUGCUGUUAUCAAUACUAAUGCAAACAGUAUCUCUUUCGUUUCCUUUUUUCUGAAUCGUCACUUCUCAAAAAACGUAACUUUUCAGAAUAAAAUCCUUAAACAAAUUUAGAUAUCGUUUCUUCAUCAUCAUUGUACUUAUUUUUUUUUCUGUUUCAUCUUCCUUUCUUCAAAUUUUCUCAGUCGCUAUGUAGGUUUUUGUAUAAUGGAAUUCCCUUAUCCAAUUCAACCACCAAUAAACCGAACUGAGUUUUUGUUUUUUUUUUUUUUUUUUUUUGAAUAUAUGUUAAAUUUAUUCAAAAGAAAAGUACUUUUGUACAACAAGUGUAAACUGUUUUUUGAAAAAGCUAAAACUUAAUUUUAAACCAAAUCUCUUAUCUUGUGGCAAACCACAUUGUUAAAGUUCCUGAGAACUUCAAAUCUCCCAUUUUUUGAACUGAGUUUUUGUUCCUCUGCUGUUGAUCUCUAUCUGAACUUUUUACUGCUCUCGAUUUUUUUCUUAUCCUCUUUUUUUUUUCUGAUAACUGCCACUUGUUUCUGUCUCCCCAACCCACUGAUCUCUUCUGGUAAUGAUUUCCAUCCAUAAGUUCAGACCGGACAAUAGGAGGAGAUUCAUUGAUCGAUGUGUUUCCUUGUCACCAAACAAUUACGGUUUCGACUCGCCUUUAGGACCAGAUUCAAUAGGGUAAGUUCCUCUUUCUUUUCGUAUCAUCUGUACAUGCGAGAAAAUCAGUCACAGUGAUAUUUAAUUAGGUAGGAGAAUUUUGUUCUGGUGUAAUAGAUUUUGUUUGGAAGAUUAUAACCUUCCAGGCAUGGGAGAUCUCUUUUGUUCGUCUGUAAUACUCUUGACAGUAGCGCUAUCGUUUGUCCAAAUCAUGUAUUUUCUUUAUUACUUCUUUUAUGUUAUCUGUUGUGA